CAUCUACCAGUCCAUUUACUAACAUCUCCCUUCUAUUCAAAUCAUAAUUACAACUCACCCUUCCUUGUCAGCUAUGCCUCUCUCGAUCCUUCCUUAACAAUGACAGUAGCCACAACAUCUACAACCAAUUGACCAACCAAUCAAAGGCCACCAUCUCUCCCUUCUUGAAUCUUGCACAAAACGCAAACACCGCUAUCACCGUUUCAGCAACACCACAAGCAACAGGAACCUUCAAGAAGGGAUAAGCUCAUGACACAAGCAAUAAGCUCUCUUCAGGAGUUGAGUGGUGCAAUCGGUGGAACGGUGGAAGAUCUUCAAGAGUUGAGUGGAUUUUCAAACUCAUCACCGAAACAGAACCUUCAGUAUAUUUAUGGCCAUACAUACUGGAUUGGUGUAUGUUCUAUGAGCUAGAACAACCUGAAAAAACUGAGAUGUGUCUUCUUCCUUUUGUCUAUUAUGAAAUUAUUCCUAAUUUGUCUAUUUGGGGCUCUAUUCUUGAUCAUCACAACUAUUUAAUUGUGUGUCCACCAUGUGCUCGAUCAUAUGACAUUGGGUUCUUGGUGAAAGAUCUUAGAUUUUUUAGGGUGCUUUGUUUGACAAUAUGUAUGUGAUUUCCUUGUUCUGUUGCCCCAAUUCAAUUUAAUAUUUGGCUGACACUAUGUGCUGUCUUUGUUUUGUUGUUCUGUUAUAAUUUUAUCUUCUGCUCACCAUGUGUUUGAUAAUAUGCCCAACCCAAUAAUAACAUACUUUCAUUGAUUGAUGAUGACAACCCUGCUUUUUUAUUAGUUUGUUCUCCUUGACUGGAAUAUUUUUUUACCACUCUAAUCAAUAAUAUGAUUUCACAAUAUGAUUACUUGUUUGCCGACAUGCAUAUGUUUCCUUCCCCUUGUUUGGUGAAUAAAUGACAAUUUAAAUUUAAAAACUCGCAAGAACUAGAAAGAACAAAUGUUUAAAUAAACCAGUGCUGCAAUCUAUUUAUGGCAUGAACUAAUGGACCUUCUUAUUUCACUCUAUUCCUCAUUGCUUUUUUUGUUAUGACCCUAAUAUAUUUAAGGAGCUAUUUUUUCUUUUUCAUUCGUUGGUAGGGUAUUAGAUAUUGAGGUAAUCCACUGUUAUGCUAAAUUCAUUCUGAAUUCUAUUUCGAAGGUCAAAUAAAUGCUUUAAAUUUACUCUUUGCCAAGCUCUUGUAUUUGCCACAUAUUUGUCAAUUCUGAUUUAUUAUUCCUAAUGCUUCUUAAUCCAUUACAGCACCCUUUGGGGAUCUUACUUUCUACAUAUUUUGUAUGUCUACUUCAGGAAAAGCAUGAAAAUGAAGACAUUCAAGGAUCACUUUUUGAAGAACCUUCUCAUGGAGCUCUAUUUUGCACUUGGGAAACAUUUAAGAGGACAUUGAAGGAUAAUAUAGAUUCAAAGAACUUUCACCACCAACUCAAGAUUGGAGAUCACCUUAGCGAGGUGGCCGGUUUGAAAUCCAUUACUUCUAAGCACUUGGCAUUGUGUCAAGGUGCGCCCAUCCAAGGGUCAACACCUUGAUGCCACACACAUUUGUGCCCUUUGGGAGAGCCAAAGACAUGCCUAAGUAGUUGUUGGUGCAAGUGCAAGCUAUGGUCCAAG